GAUGAACGCUGGCGGCGUGCUUAAUACAUGCAAGUCGAACGAUGAUGCCCAGCUCGCUGGGCGGUUUAGUGGCGAACGGGUGAGUAACUCGCGAGUAACCUGCCCUUCUAUCAGGGUUAAGUCAGGGCAACUGGCUCUAACAAAGGAUACGAAAUACUGUCGCCCGCCAUGGUGGUGGAAAGCUGUUGUGGUUUUGGAUGGACUGGCGGCCUAUCAGCUUGUUUGUGGGGUAUUGGACUACCAAGGCGACGCCGGGUAGCCGGCCUGGGAGGGUGGCCGGGCACCCGGGGACUGAGAGACGCCGCAGUCGCCAACGGGAGGCAGCAGGGGGGAGGAUUGCGCAACGGGCGCGAGCCUGAGGCAGCGGCGCCGCGUUCGUGAUGACGGCCUUCUGGGUGUAAACCUCUGUCUGUGUGGAAGAAGCGAUAGUGACGGUACCUGCAGAAAAAGCGCCGGCUAACUACGUG
rnacentral:rRNA from 1 species